rnacentral:rRNA from 1 species
UACGAAGGGGCGUAGCGUUGUCUCGGAAGUUAACUUGGGCGGUAAAGGGAAGGCGUAGGCGGACAUUUAAGUUACAGAGGUGAAAUACCCGGACGCUUAACUUCGGAACUGCCUUUGUAUACUGGGUGUCUUGAGUGUGAGAGAGGUAUGUGGAACUCCGAGUGUAGGGGUGAAAUUCGUAGAUAUUCGGAAGAACACCAGUGGCGAAGGCGACAUACUGGCUCAUUACUGACGCUGAGGCUCGAAAGCGUGGGGAGCAAACA